rnacentral:rRNA from 1 species
GGAUACCUACGGGGGGCAGCAGUGGGGAAUAUUGCACAAUGGGGGAAACCCUGAUGCAGCGACGCCGCGUGAGUGAAGAAGUAUCUCGGUACGUAAAGCUCCAUCAGCAGGGAAGAAAAAAAGUCUUUGGCUUUGGACGGUACCUGACUAAGAAGCCCCGGCUAACUACGUGCCAGCAGCCGCGGUAAUACGGAGGAUGCGAGCGUUAUCCGGAUUUAUUGGGUUUAAAGGGUGCGUAGGCGGAAUAUCAAGUCAGCGGUAAAAAUUCGGGGCGCAACCCCGUCGUGCCGUUGAAACUGAUGUUG